rnacentral:rRNA from 1 species
CGAGCAAUCUGCCCUUCUCAUCGGAAUAAGCGUUGGAAACGACGUCUAAUGCCGAAUACGACCUCCUUUCGCAUGAUCGGAGGUGGAAAGCUACGGCGGAGAAGGAUGAGCUCGCGGCCUAUCAGCUAGUUGGUGUGGGUAACGGCCCACCAAGGCGACGACGGGUAGCCGGCCUGAGAGGGUGACCGGCCACACUGGGACUGAGACACGGCCCAGACUCCUACGGGAGGNAGCG